CAUGGUUUUUCCUGCAACUCACUUCAAUUUUGCUGCAAAAAUUAAAAUUCAUCGACAUGAAAAUUUACGACAAGCAGCUCAACGCAAACGUCGACGAUUUCGUCGUGGAGACUUUCCUUUGAAGUCUCAAUUUACCUAUGAUUCUCCCGCUUUCUGUUUGCUGUAACUUAACAUAUUGUGUCGACUCUUUAUUUAAGCACCUCUCUUGUAAAGGAAAUUUGUAAACAACUUUCGAAGUUGCAAUUUUUCACGGCGCACCUGUAUCCUUCGCUUUCAAAUGAUUAUUUAAAACACCAAACAAAAUCAACCAAAUUGAUUUUAUCAGCAUUUAUUAAGCAGAAAUUCUACACAAUAUAGAAGCUAUAAUUGAUAGCAAUUCAGUAUCAGCGUGACAAAUACCCAUUUCUAAAGGACGUUGCAGAGAGAGUCGUGUCACUAUUACAAAUGGAACGACCUCGCCUCUCCAUAGAUGGACAGCAAAAUAGAAAGUUAAGGGCAACUGUCUCGCACUGAUUAGAACUGUUUGCAGUAAAUAUAAAUGCAAUUAUUAUGCCUGUAGUUAGUUAAUGUAAAUAAGGUUAUUAAUAAAAACGGCUUCCAGUAUAUAUGAAUAAAGUGAAGCAGCUAAUAGGCUACAAUAUCUCGCGUGUAAUUCCUGAGUAAGAACCUCCCUCUGAACAACAAUUAAUCACCGGUUUGGAUUUUUAUUUAAUCCUAUUUCUAUUCUUUCAAAGGAUCGGGAAGGGAAACGCACGUAAUCUUUUAAUGAUAAGAGCUCUCCAGGUCAAGUUUCGCCAAAAUUACUACAGAUCUAUAAUCUGGAAGUAAA